AUUUAUUUAAUAUAAUGAGUAUAUUAAGCUUCCAACUUAAAAGUUUUUACAAAAAAUAAAUA
rnacentral:tRNA from 1 species